AAUAAAGUGCCUGAUUAAAGGAUUAUUCUGAUAGGAUAAAUAAUGUAGAUUACUACCUUUAUUA
rnacentral:tRNA from 1 species